rnacentral:rRNA from 1 species
CCUACGGGAGGCAGCAGUGAGGAAUAUUGGUCAAUGGGCGUAAGCCUGAACCAGCCAAGUCGCGUGAGGGAUGAAGGUUCUAUGGAUCGUAAACCUCUUUUAUAAGGGAAUAAAGUGUGGGACGUGUCCUGUUUUGUAUGUACCUUAUGAAUAAGGAUCGGCUAACUCCGUUCCAGCAGCCGCGGUAAUACGGAGGAUCCGAGCGUUAUCCGGAUUUAUUGGGUUUAAAGGGUGCGUAGGCGGCCUUUUAAGUCAGCGGUGAAAGUCUGUGGCUCAACCAUAGCAUUGCCGUUGAAACUGGGAGGCUUGAGUGUGUUUGAGGAAGGCGGAAUGCGUGGUGUAGCGGUGAAAUGCUUAGAUAUCACGCAGAACCCCGAUUGCGAAGGCAGCCUGCCAAGCCAUGACUGACGCUGAUGCACGAAAGCGUGGGGAUCAAACAGGAUUAGAUACCCUGGUAGUC